rnacentral:rRNA from 1 species
AUGGAGGCACCUGCUGUCAGAGCUCCCCUUGGCAUCUUCCUGAAACUCCUGAUCGGCACAGCUGAGAAAGUACUUCAGCUCGGCGAAGCCACCAUGGCCGCCGAUGUUGGAGACGGAGGCCGUGCUCUUCUCCUCAUGUCCGAUCCAUUGGGCCGUCGUCUCCUGCAGAAAUGUCAAGUCCACCUCAGCUCUAAAACACAGAUACAUUUCUCCAUCUUGGAAUCACAGAGCCUGCAGAUUUUCCCGGCUGAAAGCACCUGUCCAUGGAGGCAUGCGGCUGGUGUUGUUGUGGGUCAGGAUGGUUUAGUGUGCAUGCUUGUCUCAAGCUGCUAG